rnacentral:rRNA from 1 species
UACAGAGGGUGCGAGCGUUGUCCGGAAUUACUGGGCGUAAAGGGUGCGUAGGUGGUUUGAUAAGUUAGCUGUGAAAUUCCUGGGCUUAACCUAGGGUAGUCAGCUAAGACUGUGAGACUAUGAGUAUGGGAGAGGGUAGUGGAAUUUCCGGUGUAGCGGUGAAAUGCGUAGAGAUCGGAAGGAACACCAGUGGCGAAGGCGGCUACCUGGCCUAAUACUGACACUGAGGCACGAAAGCGUGGGGAGCAAACAGG